UAUUCUGAUUGCUAUGGAAAGCUAACUCAAACACGGUUGUUAUGGUCCCGGUUUCAUAAGUUAUGGACGAGAAUUGUGGCCAAUAGGUAUUUUUGAAAUUGGAACUCUGAUGCUGAUAUUCUGCAGAAAAAUCUGCACAUGAGUUUGGAGUAGUUUCGUUGCAAAUUCCGCUUGUCGAUGAGUUUCAGAAAUGUCGGUGGUACUGUUCAAGCUUCGAUUUCAGGUGGGUUCCCUUAGAGCCUUAAAAUCUAGUUAGUUUAGCUCCAUUAGUUUCCCCAAAUAAAAUAAAGGCAUGAUAACAUUAGUUCAGUUAGAAUAUUAGUUCCCCAAUUUAUCAGUUGCAUGACAAUACUAGGAUUUAAGGAAUUUAUUGUGUGAGAAUGGUUAAAUCCCCAAACUAUUCUCCGUUCUGAAUAUAUGGACUAAUUACAAUGUUUGAAAUUAGGAAUAUAUGGAUUGUAGGUGAUUAUUGGCUUGAUUUCUCAUAAAAAUGCAAACAACGUUUUAUACUGAUGUACUCUCUUAGCGAGGAAUGACUUCGCUGGGCGAGAGUGUCAUAAUAGAACACUGCAGAAUGUUACUUUAACCGCCAAAUCACUCGUUUUAUAUUCUUAUUCUUCCUAAUGUAUUUCUCUGGACAAUGUAACAUCGUUACAUAUUUAGAAUGUUAAUCACACCUCAUGAAAUUAAGUAUCAGGAAUCAGGACAGUUUAUAGAUACCCUGGGAGGGAAUUCAUGGGCAGGAUAACAAUCAGGAUUACUAAGUUAAGUUAAGAAAGUCAAUCAAUUAUGGUGGUUACUUAUGUACCACGUUAUGGGAUUCGUUAGAAUCCAAUCAUGUUAUGAUUGUGAGCUUCAGCCGUGUCGAUGUACAUUAUUAUCGCAGACGGACAUGUCAGGCCUCUGAGACCGGCUCACCUCAGAGUGUCUUUGUCAUGAAUAAAACGAACAAGAUAAAUAAUUUGUGUUACACCUUUAUGUAUUAUGUUAUGAAAUUAUGUUAUGUAAAUCAUGUUUAGAGAUUGACUAUCAGGAUCAGAGAACUAUUAGUUCGUCAGUUGCCCCGGUGUAGAGACCAAUAGUAAUUGGGUAGUAGGAAUCCACUGAGACGAAGUGACUGUCUCAUCCCCCACUUAUUUGAUUUCAGAUAAACAGGUUGAUCAAGAUAUCAUGGUCUGCAAGCAUGGAGUUCAGAUACUUGCAUUAAGCUAGUUGAGCUGACGUCAUGUUAUCUUAUAUUUGUAUAAGAUUUAGUUUCUUUAUGUUUUCAGUUGUUAGCUCAAUUUAGUAUUAAUCUCUUGGAUUUUGUAAUCCUAUUUAUGUAUUCGGACAAUAUGUAAAGAAAAUUUAAUGUUUUCCGAUUCAGUUAUGUACACUCUUAUCGAUAUUCUAGAUAAAUCGAUGUGGGGUGUUAUAAUUGGUAU
rnacentral:lncRNA from 1 species